rnacentral:rRNA from 1 species
GACGAACCUUGCUAACGUUAUUCGGAAUUACUGGGCUUAAAGGGUGCGUAGGCGGUGCGGAAAGUCGGGUGUGAAAUCCCCCAGCUCAACUGGGGAAUUGCGCCUGAAACUGCCGUACUCGAGGAAGGCAGAGGUACGCGGAACUUAGGGUGGAGCGGUGAAAUGCGUUGAUAUCCUAAAGGAACACCGGUGGCGAAAGCGGCGUACGUGGGUCGAGACUGACGCUGAGGCGCGAAAGCGUGGGGAGCAAACAGG